rnacentral:rRNA from 1 species
GACGAACGUUGGCGGUGUGGAUUAGGCAUGCAAGUCGCGCGCGAAACCCUUCGGGGGAGGUAAAGACGGCGAACGGGUGAGUAACACGUAAUCAACCUGCCCUCGAGACCAGAAUAGCUACUGGAAACGGUAGGUAAUGCUGGAUGGCCCCACCGGGAGGCAUCUCCUGAUGGGUAAACGGUGGCGCAAGCUGCUGCUCGGGGGAGGGGAUUGCGGCCUAUCAGCUAGUUGGUGAGGAAUGGCUCACCAAGGCGAUGACGGGUAGCUGGUCUGAGAGGGACGACCAGUCACACUGGGACUGAGACACUGCCCAGACUCCUACGGGAGGCUGCAGUCGAGGAUCUUCCGCAAUGGGCGAAAGCCUGACGGAGCGACACCGCGUGCAGGAUGAAGG